UUUGGAAUGGGUAACUGCUUAUAACAGCUAUUGCGGUAGCCAUUUUGAGAUGGCGCUCCAUUUGGGUAGCGUACUGGGUUCUCUCUUCACCAGUUACCUACCAUUUUCUCAUUUUGAAGAAAUAAAAAGGAGUUACUCUGAGGCCACACUUUUGUGGAGAAGUUCUGCCUUCAGAGAACAAGGUUAAACCACAGUGACUCUUCAGCUACACAGACCAAAACCUUCAAGAGCAGGGUGAAGAGUCGUUUUUCUCUUUCCAUACACGGCUUGUAACCCAGUGAGGGCUCGCAGUGGUUCCAAACACAGCUCCAUCGUUCCACAGUUUCAUGGACCGCCGAACCAUUUUGCCUCUAUGGUCUCCCGGCUUCUGGAAAACAGUUUUGCUCAAGGUCCUCUCCCCUCACGUACUCUAAGUAGCUCUGCCUGGUUCUAGUUUUGUUACUUAAACUCAGGAUUCAGUUUUGUUUGGAGAUUUCUGAGACUUCAUUCUCUUUCUAAAACUGCUGCUCCGAAACCUACUACUGUGAAAAUAGAGACAAACAAGAUGAAAUAAAGAAAGCAAGUGAGGAGGAGAAGAAGAGCCUAGCACUGGAGGGUUUGGUAGAUCUCUUUUCCAGAAGCACCAGGCCCUCAGCAUGAGACCCAUCUGAGCUCUGUCCAAGGAGGCCCGGCCUUUUUCCCAUCCCAUGGACUUUGUACUUCUCUCUCUUUCAGGGUGGGAGAUAAACUGCAGAAGGCAGCACCAUUUUUCACCUUUUCCAUCCUCAUUUGCAGAAUCUGGGUUUAGGUUCUCCUCCCUGUGUCAACAUGUCCUGCCUCUAAGUAUGUGAUCUGCUACUUUGCAAUAGGUGUGAGAGAUUUAUUCUACUUGGUCCAAUGGAUCAUUUUCCCAUGGCAUUUGGACUUGGGACAAAAAGAAGAAAUUGUCUGAAAGUAAUAAAUAUUCUGUAACAGAUCCAACAACUUGUAAUGAAUAUAUUUAACUACUAACAAAGCAAAAGGGAAGAAAGUCCUCCCACUUGGUGAGCCAUUGGUGUGUGCUAGUGGGUCAAGUUUCUGAGAAAAUUAAAAACAAAAAUUCUGACUUGAAUCAUUCAUGAAUUUUAAUGAGAUGUAAAUACUCCUGCUGUGACCAGUUUCAAGUUUCCAACCUUUCAGUUGUUUCACAAAAUUACUGGAUUUGGGGUGAUC
rnacentral:lncRNA from 1 species